GGCAACUUGGCCGAGCGGUUAUGGCGCCAGUUUCAGGCUACAAUGAGAAAUACUGGUUCGAAAGAGCGUGGGUUCGAGUCCCACAGUUGUCA
rnacentral:tRNA from 1 species